CUGCACAGUUUGUUGCUCAACUGUAUCAAACUAGUUUGGUUGUUUGCUUGUUGGUGUUAAGAAUGAAAUUUUUUUCUAAAAGUCACAAAAGAAAAGGCAAAAACAAUUCCAAGAUAUUAAGUUUUAAGAAUUUGAUUUACAGUCAAUUUUAUUGUCCACUGUUCUUUUUUUUUUCGCUUGUUGUUUGACAGAUGAAAGUUUUGGAGAAUUAAUCAACUUGUGAAUGCUUGAAAGUACACAUAUUAUUCCACUGGUGUCUCUUGUUGUUUCAUUCAGCUGUACGUCAGAGAGUCCUAGGUGAUGUUUCAUCUGUAUAGGAAGAAGGUGGAAUUCAGUGGCUUCACAACAGCUAGAGAUGAUGAAGAUGAUGAAAAUAAAACAUGGAAUGGAAGCUGUACUCAACAGAUGUAACUGAAUGAUCCAAGAUUGUUUAAAAUAUAUGGAGAGUUAAACAUUUGGUCUCUAAUUUGGAAUAAUUCUUUUAAAAUAGAUUAGAGUGAAGAUGAACUUGGUUGUUAGAGUGACAAGAGUCUGUGACAAACAAUACAUUGAUACAGAAACAAUGUUCCUUUAGAAAGGAAUCAAA